CCUACGGGUGGCAGCAGUGGGGAAUAUUGGACAAUGGGCGAAAGCCUGAUCCAGCCAUGCCGCGUGUGUGAAGAAGGCCUUCGGGUUGUAAAGCACUUUCAGUGGGGAAGAAAGCCUUGGGGCUAAUACCCUCGAGGAAGGACAUCACCCACAGAAGAAGCACCGGCUAACUCCGUGCCAGCAGCCGCGGUAAUACGGAGGGUGCGAGCGUUAAUCGGAAUUACUGGGCGUAAAGCGCGCGUAGGCGGUCUGAUAAGCCGGUUGUGAAAGCCCCGGGCUCAACCUGGGAACGGCAUCCGGAACUGUCAGGCUAGAGUGCAGGAGAGGAAGGUAGAAUUUCCGGUGUAGCGGUGAAAUGCGUAGAGAUCGGGAGGAAUACCAGUGGCGAAGGCGGCCUUCUGGACUGACACUGACGCUGAGGUGCGAAAGCGUGGGUAGCAAACAGGAUUAGAUACCCGAGUAGUC
rnacentral:rRNA from 1 species